UACGUAGGUGGCAAGCGUUGUCCGGAUUUACUGGGCGUAAAGAGCGCGCAGGCGGUCGUUCAAGUCGCGUGUGAAAGCCCCCGGCUCAACUGGGGAGGGUCACGCGAUACUGAUCGACUCGAAGGCAGGAGAGGGUAGUGGAAUUCCCGGUGUAGUGGUGAAAUGCGUAGAUAUCAGGAGGAACACCGGUGGCGAAGGCGGGUCUCUGGGCAGUAACUGACGCUGAGGAGCGAAAGCGUGGGGAGCGAACAGG
rnacentral:rRNA from 1 species